CGAACGCUGGCGGUAUGCUUAACACAUGCAAGUCGAACGAACAAAAUUGGGGCUUGCUCCAAUUUUAGUGAGUGGCAAACGGGUGAGUAACACGUGGGAAUCUACCUAUCAGUACGGAAUAACAUUUGGAAACAGAUGCUAGUACCGUACUAUUCUCCAAGGAGGAAAGAUUUAUCGCUGAUAGAUGAGCCCGCGCAAGAUUAGGUAGUUGGUAGGGUAAUGGCCUACCAAGCCGACGAUCUUUAGCUGGUCUGAGAGGAUGAUCAGCCACACUGGGACUGAGACACGGCCCAGACUCCUACGGGAGGCAGCAGUGGGGAAUCGUUGCACAAUGGAGGAAACUCUGAUGCAGUGAUGCCGCGUGAGUGAAGAAGGCCUUUGGGUUGUAAAGCUCUUUUGUAGGGGAAGAUAAUGACUGUACCCUAAGAAUAAGGUCCGGCUAACUUCGUGCCAGCAGCC
rnacentral:rRNA from 1 species